rnacentral:rRNA from 1 species
UGGGGAAUAUUGCACAAUGGAGGGAACUCUGAUGCAGCAACGCCGCGUGCGGGAUGACGGCCUUCGGGUUGUAAACCGCUUUCAGCCAUGACGAAGCUUUUGUGACGGUAGUGGUAGAAGAAGCACCCGCUAACUACGUGCCAGCAGCCGCGGUGAUACGUAGGGUGCGAGCGUUGUCCGGAAUUAUUGGGCGUAAAGAGCUUGUAGGCGGUUUGUCGCGUCGAUAGUGUAAACACGCAGCUUAACUGUGUGCCUGCUGUCGAUACGGGCUGACUAGAGGAGGGUAGGGGAGAAUGGAAUUCCCGGUGGAGCGGUGGAAUGCGCAGAUAUCGGGAGGAACACCAGUGGCGAAGGCGGUUCUCUGGACCUUUCCUGACGCUGAGAAGCGAAAGCGUGGGUAGCAAACAGG